rnacentral:rRNA from 1 species
UACGGGGGGGGCAAGCGUUGUUCGGAAUUACUGGGCGUAAAGGGCUCGUAGGCGGCCAACUAAGUCAGACGUGAAAUCCCUCGGCUUAACCGGGGAACUGCGUCUGAUACUGGAUGGCUUGAGAUUGGGAGAGGGAUGCGGAAUUCCAGGUGUAGCGGUGAAAUGCGUAGAUAUCUGGAGGAAUACCGGUGGCGAAGGCGGCAUCCUGGACCGGCAUUGACGCUGAGGAGCGAAAGCCAGGGGAGCAAAGCGGG